UGCUGUCAGUGAUGUCAUUCUACCUACAUUGUUUGAUGUUUCUAAAUGAGAACAUUCUACUUGAUCUGAGACACGA